rnacentral:lncRNA from 1 species
CGAAAUAAAAUAGAUUAUGAUUAAUAUCCCUUACACAAUAAUCAAAACGAAUUAAGCGUAUGAAAGAAUAAACUAAGUAUAGGAAAUACUAUGAAUGAAUACUAUAAGGAAAACUAAUAAAUUCUUAUGCUUCUACUCGCCAUCUUCCUGCAGAACGGGCUCGGGAACCAAGUGCUCCUGAUAUGAAAUGGUUAAGUAAAGAAUGAACUACACUAACCCAGUAAAGAUAUCACACUAUCUCACUGUCACAGAAAUAAAUGUUGGUAGAAAACAAAAACGACUAAUGGAGCAUA